CAGCACCACACUGCUUGUACAGCCUGCAGAACUGGGCCCUGCACGAAGUCCCUUCCCUCUUACCCAGCUAAAUCCUAUCACUCUUGAGGCCUCGCCUUGAUGCCAUUUCCUUGGGAAAAACCCAUGAACUCCUAAACCAGAUGAUGGGCUGCAAGUGUCCCGACAUGGUUUCCCAGCUUCUCCUUAGAGAUGCUCACCCCUAUUCCCCCGGUUCCUGCCACCACCUGUGCUGGAAUCAGUGCAGGUUUGAAUAGCAUGUCUCAGGUGUGACUUUAACAGCCAGGGUCUGACCUGACUCUGCCUCAGAGCCAUUGGGCUCUGGAGUCUCUGAAAGCAGGGCUGGUCCUCUCUGUGGAGGUGAUGAGCUCAGUGGAGGCCACCCAAGUCUGUCUUAGUCACUGCUACUCUCCCAGGACAUGCGUAGUGCCAGGUUCACAGUAGACACUCACUAAAUGCUCAUUGGAUGAUUGAAUGCAUGUUAGAUGCAUGGCAGCCUUGGGGCACAAACUACUUCUGGCAGUUGUAGUUAGGAUGACCUUAUGUCCUAUGCCUGGGAGAAGUCCUGAUUCAUGUUAGCUGUCCUCUCUCUCUCAAGAAUGUCCUAGUUUAGAUGACAAGUGAUUUGGAUGCUCUAGAAGCAUCUGCCAAUUCAAAUUCUUCUUUCUAUUCAAUGAAAACAUCUUAAUUUCUUUAAUGAAGAAAUUAAAACUAUUUCAAGGUGUCCAUAUUUUUGAACCAAUUUUUAUACUGUCCAGCCAGCAGGUGUUUUAGACUUGUGCUCUGAGCUAGAAACAAAAAUAGAAGUUUUUUCUUUCUCUUGUCUGCAGAAAGUUGUCACCAGCCUGCCAUUGCCCCAUGCAUUUUAUAAAAGUCAGUACUCACUCAACUCUUGUUUUUGCAGGAGAGAGCUCGUCAUAAUUCCAUUUUCUUCCCAAUGUCUUAACCCUUACGUCCUGGGUGGAGACAGUCACCACCACAGAGGGCAGUGAUGAAAAUACGUCACUCAGGGGUCUAAAUUCCUUCCUCACUUUGCUCCUAGAUUCAACAAAAAUUUGCAUAUAACUCACUUUUUGUCCUGUUACAAAAAUAAUAAAUGUCCAACUUGAAAAAUGUAGAAAAUACCGACACUCAAAGAGAAGAAAAUCUACAUCACCAUAAUUCCAACCUCUAAAAAUAGCCACCACGAGUCUUUGGAGAUAAACUACCCCCAAGUAAAUAUACCUAUUAUACAAAAAUGAAAUACUUAGAGGAGUUGAAAAAAAUUAGUACAGAGUAAUCUAACAAACACAUCUGUGCUAUUCACCAGCAGAAUGAGUCAAUGUGGGCAUCUGUAAUAAUACGUGGCUGUGUAUGUAUUUAUCUGUGUGUAUGAAAUGAAAUGCUGCAGGGAAAGUUGCAGGGAAAGCCGGCAUCUCCUUGGUUCCUCUCUCUGACUUUCCAGUCUCCUUCCUAUAUUCUUCCUUAUAAUCUGUUUUUUUUUUUUUUUGGAGACAGUGUCUCACUGU